AUGUCCUUCUUUGAAGUCCAUCCUGCUCCGCCCACUAUUUGUCCCCGGUGGUCACUUCCUCCUCUGUGCUCCCAUGGCCUGGGAUUCACACCAGGAAAGAACGCCACGAAGAAGGAAUGGGUGAAGGACUUUAGUACGAUGGUCAAGACAAGAACCGUGGAGUCAGAAUGCCUGCAUGCAGAUCUCAUCAUCAUGGGAAUCAUUGAGGGUUUACUGAACGAGUGCUAUUGUAAACAGAGUCAGUGUCAACACCAGAAAGUGCUUCCUGAUCUGGCAGUUUAAUUGCUCUCCUGAUUUCCAUGCUUUUCACUUUUUAUGAAAUGUGACGUUUUCUCUACAUCUUGUACAAAUACAGGUAUGAAAACAUUGGGCUGGUUUAUAAGUUAGAGCUAAAGUCUAGUUAAAUGGCAAAGGUGAUUUUUGCAAAUAGAUACAUAGCUUCUUUAAAGCCAGCUUCGAGGUUUCUCAGGCAUUCCUGAAUGGCUUGAGAUUGAUGUUCCAGGAGGCAGAACAUCGAGGGAAGGCAAGGGAUUCUCUGGAAUGUUAUUCAGUGGACCUGAGCACUCAACUGCCACUUGAAACGUUAGUUUGUCGUUGGCCCUUUGGCCAAUGGCACAAGUACCUCGGCUGCACUGGGGGCUGCCUUUCAGCUACAUUAACCUGCUUUAUAGUUCAUAACGAGCCUUGGUGAUUGAAGUCCACAUAGCCACUGUGGGUUCACCUCUUGUCCAAGACACAGGCAUGUCUCUCGACCCCCUGACCUCCCAUUCUCUGAGUUCUUGCUUUGCCACCUACAUCUGUUCUGUAUCUUCAGAUUCCCCCCUCUGGCUUUUCCCUGGACUCUUGAUCUCAGCCUGUCAGCACACUUAAAUGUACAUCAUCCUUAAAACAAUAAAACAAAACAAAAUCCUUUUAACAAGACUCCUCCUUGAAGGACAACCCUCUUCUCUCAUUUCCUUUCUUGCAAAAGCCUGCACAAUGGACAUGUCUCAUCUUCUCUUUCCCACUUUCCAUUCACAUUGGCUACUACCCUGCCACCUCCCUGUACCUGCUCUUAUUAAAGUAACCACUGUUUCUCUAAUUUCCAAACUAGGAGGCUGUCACUCCUCGUCCUCCUUGGCUUCUGAAGCACCUGACAGUGUUGACUGAGCAGCUAUGUGCUGAGCUAAGACAAGGGAGUUUGGUAGCUAGUAAAAGGACAAAUGGGUAUCCGAGGUCAAUGAAUGGUUCUGAGGUCAAGUAUAAUUCCCUGCUGGGAAUCAUUGACAGACUCAACUUCAUCUCUUUUUCCCUGAACUGGCAGUUAUUUUAGGAUUUGUACUCAUAUCUUUCUCUUCUCUUCUUCAUUUUCUUCUCUCAUCUUAUCUUCUCUACUUACUUAUAUGUUCUUCCUGGGCGACAUCAUCAUUUUUUUUCCAGCUUCAAGUAUAUCUUGAAUUCCAAAUCUUUAUUUUUACUAAAGCCGUUGGCUGAACUAUAAACCUAUAUUUUCAAAUGCUCAUUGGACAUAACUCCAGUAAAGUGUUAUAGGCAUUUCACCUUAACACACAAAAGGAACUUGAUAAUAUCUUUAAGUUUGUUCCUCUCUUUAUAUUCCUUUUUUGUUUGAGAUGGAGUCUUGCUCUGUGGCCCAGGCUGGAGUGCAGUGGUACAACAUCCACUCACUGCAACCUCUACCUCCCAGGUUCAAGUGAUCCUGCUGUCUCAGCCUCCCAAAGUGCUGGGAUUACAGGCAUGAGCCACCAUGCCCAGCCCCUGUCCUUAUGUUCUUCAUUUCAGACGAAUGGCAGUGCCACUUUCCAGUAUUCUAAGCUAGAAUCUUGCAUAUGUCCCCAAUUUUUCUUCUAUUUUAUUUCUUACCUUCAAUGUCAUCAAGUUUGGUCAAUUCUUCCUCAUACACAACUCUUAAAAAAUUCAUUGUUGCUUUUCCAUUUGCACUGCCAUAGUUUUGGUUCUGCCCUUAGCAUCUGAUAUGGUUUAGCUCUGUGUGUCCACCCAGAUCUCAUGUUGACUUGUAAUCCCCAUGUGUCAGGGGAGAGACCGGGUGGGAGGUGAUUGGAUCACGGGGGUCGGAUUUCCCCCUUGCUGUUCUUGUGAUAGUGAAUGAGCUCUCCUGAGAUCUGAUGGUUUAAAAGUGUGGCACUUUCCCCUUCACUCUCUCUCUCUCCUGCUGCCUUGUGAAGAUGUGCCUUGCUUCCCCUUUAGCUUCAGCCGUGAUUGUAAGUUUCCUGAGGCCUCCCCAGCCAUGCAGAACUGUGAGUCAAUUAAACCUCUUUUCUUUAUAAAUUACCCAGUCUCAGGUAGUUCUUUAUAGCAGCGUGAGAACAAACUAAUACAGCAUCUCUAAGGCCCGAUAACCAAAACCUAGUCCAGCACUUUUUUCCUCAAGGAAGUGCAAAUCCCUUGGGCAUCAUGUUCAAAUGUGGAUCAUGACUUCGAAGAUCUGUGUGGGGCUUGAGAUUCUGCAAUCUGGCAAGCUCCUAAGGGCUGCUUCUUGUUCCUGGACCUCACCCUGAACAGUAAUGACCUCAACAACUACUACCCUUCUCUCAGGCCUCAUUCCCUCUGCCUUACCACUUGCCCACCCUCUGUUCCACCCCAGCCUCCACCCUGCACACCACUCCUGCACUCCCAAGUCAUUCUCUAUAAUCGUGACUAUCUUCUAAAUUCUUAAAGUGGAAAUAUGAUAAUGUCACUGUCCUGUGUUAACAGCUUUAAUGGGGGUCCCAUAGCCUUCAGGAUAAAGUUCAAGCUGCUUAAUAGGAGAUGCAGGGUGACUUUGAUUAUCUGAAAUCCACCUGCGUCUUAUCCCCCAUGCCCUCUCAGUCUGCAGAAAAUGUGUGCACUUUUUUUUUAAGAGAAAAGGAUCAAAUAAUGUGCUGGAUUCUCAGAGUGUUAUUUGGCUUUGAGAAAGAGGAAUGACCACAGUCCUUUCUGCAUUAGGAAUUUUUUUUUGUUUGUUUUUAGAGUAUGAUUCAGAGACCAAUUUAUUCCCAAAGAAAAUUGCCAUUACAUCUAUUAAGUUUUUAUAUUAAAACAUUUUCUACCAAGGGAUGACUGUCACUCUGAGCAACUGUGCCACUGUGAAUGCCUCAUGUGUCAGCAUAGCUUAUUAUCUAGCUCUGAGCAGAAUGGGAGUGCUGCUGAAUUAGUCUUGAGGAAAUUUUAUAGAUGAGGAAGCAGUAGCCCACAUAGAUUAGACAAUUUCCCUGAAUUUAUAAAACUCAGACAGUGCCAGAGACUAGACUAGACCUUGAAUCUUUGGGACUCUUGUCUAGUACUCUUUGCACUGAACCAUGAAACACCAUCCUUCCUUAGCAAGGAGAGAUGGGGUCAAAGUGAGAUGUGACAAUGAGGAAGUGUGGCAAGUUAAAGCAGCAACAAAGCUACAUGCCUCAGCUUCUGGGGUUCUUCCUUCUUCAAUAUUUCACUUCAGGGGAAGAUGUGGCAGUGCUUAGAUGCUAACAGAAAGAACCAGGAGACACAGAGCUGGUGUGGCAAUGCAGAAAAGGCCCGUGGAUUGUGGCUGGAAGAGGUGGCCAGGAGUGCCAAGUGUCAGGGUGGUGGCCUGUAAGCCACAGGUAGGGGAAUGUAGCUUCGUAGCCUGGUGAAGAGGGGACAGGGCUGGGGACACGUCCAAGGAGUCGUGUUGGUUGCAUUCCAAUAUUUUGCUGCACUGAUGAAGUGACAGGGAAGUGAGUUUCUGCCCAGCAUUGAGGAAUCACUCACAAUUCCGUUGUGCAGGAAUGAGAGAAGACGCACUGUGCUGUGGGAGGCGUUGCUCCAGGACUCCAGCCGAGUUUCCGUGACUACAGAGCAUGGAUAUGGAGGAUGCGAUUCCUCCAUAGUACAGGAGACUGAUCAGAUGACCUUGGGUUUCUCCUUCUGCACCCAUUGCCAAGACCAUAUGUGCUUAAGUGAGGAAGCUGUGAAUAAGGGGUGCUUCCCUCAUGGCCAAUUCAGGGAUCAUAGAUGUAGGUGAGGAGGUACACGGAUGACAGCCAGGAUCAGGGAGGGCAUUUUUAACCAGGCUGCCUCCCCUGAAUCUGCUCUAAAGAUGGGACUAUUUUCUCCGUAUCAUUUUAUAGGAUCUUUUAUGGCUAACUCAUCUUAUAGAUUAAGCCAGUUGUCAAAAUGUUUCUGUAAAGGGUUAGAAAGUAAAUUGUAGCCUUUGUG
ensembl:lincRNA